UAGGGAAUUUUGGACAAUGGGCGAAAGCCUGAUCCAGCAACGCCGCGUGCGCGAUGACGGCCUUCGGGUUGUAAAGCGCUUUUAAGAGAGAUGAGAAAGGACAGUAUCUCUAGAAUAAGCCUCGGCGAACUACGUGCCAGCAGCCGCGGUAAAACGUAGGAGGCUAGCGUUAUCCGGAUUUAUUGGGCGUAAAGCGUGUGCAGGCGGUUUGGCAAGUUGGAUGUGAAAGCUCCCGGCUUAACUGGGAGAGGUCGUUCAAAACUGCCAGACUAGAGAAUGGAAGAGGGAGGUGGAAUUCCGGGUGUAGUGGUGAAAUGCGUAGAUAUCCGGAGGAACACCAGUGGCGAAAGCGGCCUCCUAGGCCAUUUCUGACGCUAAGACACGAAAGCUAGGGUAGCAAACGG
rnacentral:rRNA from 1 species